rnacentral:rRNA from 1 species
UACGUAGGGUGCGAGCGUUGUCCGGAAUUAUUGGGCGUAAAGAGCUUGUAGGCGGUCUGUCGCGUCUGCCGUGAAAUUUCGGGGCUCAACCCCGAACUUGCGGUGGGUACGGGCAGACUAGAGUGUGGUAGGGGAGAAUGGAAUUCCCGGUGUAGCGGUGAAAUGCGCAGAUAUCAGGAGGAACACCAAUGGCGAAGGCAGCACUCUGGGACGUGACUGACGCUGAGACGCGAAAGCGUGGGGAGCAAACAGG